rnacentral:rRNA from 1 species
GCGACCUGCCCCAAAGACCGGGAUAGCCAGGGGAAACCCUGAUUAAUACCGGAUGAUCUCGUAGAACCACAUGGUUCCUCGAGCAAAAGCUUUUGCGCUUUGGGAUGGGCUCGCGGCCUAUCAGCUAGUUGGUGAGGUAAUAGCUCACCAAGGCGAUGACGGGUAGCUGGUCUGAGAGGACGAUCAGCCACACUGGGACUGAGACACGGCCCAGACUCCUACGGGAGGCAGCAGCAGGGAAUCUUGCACAAUGGGCGAAAGCCUGAUGCAGCAACGCCGCGUGAGGGAUGAAGGCUUUCGGGUUGUAAACCUCUUUCAGGAGGAAAGAAAUUGACGGUACCUCCAGAAGAAGCCCCGGCUAACUACGUGCCAGCAGCCGCGGUAAUACGUAGGGGGCAAGCGUUGUCCGGAAUUAUUGGGCGUAAAGGGCUCGUAGGCGGUUCAGCAAGUCAACUGUGAAAUCCCGUGGCUUAACCACGGAACUGCAGCCGAUACUGCUGUGACUAGAGUCGUGUAGAGGAGAAUGGAAUUCCCGGUGUAGCGGUGGAAUGCGCAGAUAUCGGGAGGAACACCAGUAGCGAAGGCGGUUCUCUGGGCACGUACUGACGCUGAGGAGCGAAAGCGUGGGGAGCAAAGGGAUUAGAUACCCCUGUAGUC